AGGGUUAUAUUUUUGAAAAAUUUUAAUUUAUUGUUUUAUUAAAUUUGAUUAAUAACAAUAAAAUAGAUAAUGAUUAUAAGUAGGUUUGAUGUGAGAAUAUAUUAAUUUAUAUUUGAUAUGUUUAAUAAGAAAUUUAGUUUAUUUCAGGUGAUGAAGAAUGUAUGUGGUUUAUUUACUGAGCGGUUGAUGGAUUUUAGGCGAGGCAGCAAGUGUGGAUUGGUGGUUAUACUCUUCUUAUGUAUUUGGUUGGUAGAGGUUGUGGCUGAGUUUUGAUUACUAUCUGGCUGACUGAUUGAAAAUUUUGGGAGAGGCAGUGAGUAUAAGGAAUUAUUAUUGAAAGAUUUGUGAAGGUGACUUAUUAGUGGUUUUUUGAUUAUGAGUGAAUCAAUGAUGGAGUUGGAGUUGUGUAGUGAUGGAAUG